CGACGAGGUAGAUAGGUCCGAGGUGGAAGUACAGUAAUGUAUGCAGCUGACGGAUACUAAUAGGUCGAAGGCUUGACCUU
rnacentral:rRNA from 1 species